AUUUAUAUAGUUUAGAAAAACAUUACAUUUUCACUGUAAAAACAGAAACACUUUUCUUGUAAAUA
rnacentral:tRNA from 1 species